UUAAGCGACUAAGCGUACACGGUGGAUGCCCUGGCAGUCAGAGGCGAUGAAGGACGUGCUAAUCUGCGAUAAGCGUCGGUAAGGUGAUAUGAACCGUUAUAACCGGCGAUUUCCGAAUGGGGAAACCCAGUGUGUUUCGACACACUAUCAUUAACUGAAUCCAUAGGUUAAUGAGGCGAACCGGGGGAACUGAAACAUCUAAGUACCCCGAGGAAAAGAAAUCAACCGAGAUUCCCCCAGUAGCGGCGAGCGAACGGGGAGCAGCCCAGAGCCUGAAUCAGUGUGUGUGUUAGUGGAAGCGUCUGGAAAGGCGCGCGAUACAGGGUGACAGCCCCGUACACAAAAAUGCACAUGCUGUGAGCUCGAUGAGUAGGGCGGGACACGUGGUAUCCUGUCUGAAUAUGGGGGGACCAUCCUCCAAGGCUAAAUACUCCUGACUGACCGAUAGUGAACCAGUACCGUGAGGGAAAGGCGAAAAGAACCCCGGCGAGGGGAGUGAAAAAGAACCUGAAACCGUGUACGUACAAGCAGUGGGAGCACGCUUAGGCGUGUGACUGCGUACCUUUUGUAUAAUGGGUCAGCGACUUAUAUUCUGUAGCAAGGUUAACCGAAUAGGGGAGCCGAAGGGAAACCGAGUCUUAACUGGGCGUUAAGUUGCAGGGUAUAGACCCGAAACCCGGUGAUCUAGCCAUGGGCAGGUUGAAGGUUGGGUAACACUAACUGGAGGACCGAACCGACUAAUGUUGAAAAAUUAGCGGAUGACUUGUGGCUGGGGGUGAAAGGCCAAUCAAACCGGGAGAUAGCUGGUUCUCCCCGAAAGCUAUUUAGGUAGCGCCUCGUGAAUUCAUCUCCGGGGGUAGAGCACUGUUUCGGCAAGGGGGUCAUCCCGACUUACCAACCCGAUGCAAACUGCGAAUACCGGAGAAUGUUAUCACGGGAGACACACGGCGGGUGCUAACGUCCGUCGUGAAGAGGGAAACAACCCAGACCGCCAGCUAAGGUCCCAAAGUCAUGGUUAAGUGGGAAACGAUGUGGGAAGGCCCAGACAGCCAGGAUGUUGGCUUAGAAGCAGCCAUCAUUUAAAGAAAGCGUAAUAGCUCACUGGUCGAGUCGGCCUGCGCGGAAGAUGUAACGGGGCUAAACCAUGCACCGAAGCUGCGGCAGCGACGCUGAUGCGUUGUUGGGUAGGGGAGCGUUCUGUAAGCCUGCGAAGGUGUGCUGUGAGGCAUGCUGGAGGUAUCAGAAGUGCGAAUGCUGACAUAAGUAACGAUAAAGCGGGUGAAAAGCCCGCUCGCCGGAAGACCAAGGGUUCCUGUCCAACGUUAAUCGGGGCAGGGUGAGUCGACCCCUAAGGCGAGGCCGAAAGGCGUAGUCGAUGGGAAACAGGUUAAUAUUCCUGUACUUGGUGUUACUGCGAAGGGGGGACGGAGAAGGCUAUGUUGGCCGGGCGACGGUUGUCCCGGUUUAAGCGUGUAGGCUGGUUUUCCAGGCAAAUCCGGAAAAUCAAGGCUGAGGCGUGAUGACGAGGCACUACGGUGCUGAAGCAACAAAUGCCCUGCUUCCAGGAAAAGCCUCUAAGCAUCAGGUAACAUCAAAUCGUACCCCAAACCGACACAGGUGGUCAGGUAGAGAAUACCAAGGCGCUUGAGAGAACUCGGGUGAAGGAACUAGGCAAAAUGGUGCCGUAACUUCGGGAGAAGGCACGCUGAUAUGUAGGUGAAGUCCCUCGCGGAUGGAGCUGAAAUCAGUCGAAGAUACCAGCUGGCUGCAACUGUUUAUUAAAAACACAGCACUGUGCAAACACGAAAGUGGACGUAUACGGUGUGACGCCUGCCCGGUGCCGGAAGGUUAAUUGAUGGGGUUAGCGCAAGCGAAGCUCUUGAUCGAAGCCCCGGUAAACGGCGGCCGUAACUAUAACGGUCCUAAGGUAGCGAAAUUCCUUGUCGGGUAAGUUCCGACCUGCACGAAUGGCGUAAUGAUGGCCAGGCUGUCUCCACCCGAGACUCAGUGAAAUUGAACUCGCUGUGAAGAUGCAGUGUACCCGCGGCAAGACGGAAAGACCCCGUGAACCUUUACUAUAGCUUGACACUGAACAUUGAGCCUUGAUGUGUAG
rnacentral:rRNA from 1 species